GCUACAGGCUUAACACAUGCAAGUCGAGGGGCAGCAUGGUCUUAGCUUGCUAAGGCCGAUGGCGACCGGCGCACGGGUGAGUAACACGUAUCCAACCUGCCGUCUACUCUUGGACAGCCUUCUGAAAGGAAGAUUAAUACAAGAUGGCAUCAUGAGUCCGCAUGUUCACAUGAUUAAAGGUAUUCCGGUGGACGAUGGGGAUGCGUUCCAUUAGAUAGUAGGCGGGGUAACGGCCCACCUAGUCUUCGAUGGAUAGGGGUUCUGAGAGGAAGGUCCCCCACAUUGGAACUGAGACACGGUCCAAACUCCUACGGGAGGCAGCAGUGAGGAAUAUUGGUCAAUGGGCGAGAGCCUGAACCAGCCAAGUAGCGUGAAGGAUGACUGCCCUAUGGGUUGUAAACUUCUUUUAUAAAGGAAUAAAGUCGGGUAUGGAUACCCGUUUGCAUGUACUUUAUGAAUAAGGAUCGGCUAACUCCGUGCCAGCAGCCGCGGUAAUACGGAGGAUCCGAGCGUUAUCCGGAUUUAUUGGGUUUAAAGGGAGCGUAGAUGGAUGUUUAAGUCAGUUGUGAAAGUUUGCGGCUCAACCGUAAAAUUGCAGUUGAUACUGGAUAUCUUGAGUGCAGUUGAGGCAGGCGGAAUUCGUGGUGUAGCGGUGAAAUGCUUAGAUAUCACGAAGAACUCCGAUUGCGAAGGCAGCCUGCUAAGCUGCAACUGACAUUGAGGCUCGAAAGUGUGGGUAUCAAACAGGAUUAGAUACCCUGGUAGUCCACACGGUAAACGAUGAAUACUCGCUGUUUGCGAUAUACAGCAAGCGGCCAAGCGAAAGCGUUAAGUAUUCCACCUGGGGAGUACGCCGGCAACGGUGAAACUCAAAGGAAUUGACGGGGGCCCGCACAAGCGGAGGAACAUGUGGUUUAAUUCGAUGAUACGCGAGGAACCUUACCCGGGCUUAAAUUGCAGAUGAAUUACGGUGAAAGCCGUAAGCCGCAAGGCAUCUGUGAAGGUGCUGCAUGGUUGUCGUCAGCUCGUGCCGUGAGGUGUCGGCUUAAGUGCCAUAACGAGCGCAACCCUUGUUGUCAGUUACUAACAGGUUCCGCUGAGGACUCUGACAAGACUGCCAUCGUAAGAUGUGAGGAAGGUGGGGAUGACGUCAAAUCAGCACGGCCCUUACGUCCGGGGCUACACACGUGUUACAAUGGGGGGUACAGAGGGCCGCUACCACGCGAGUGGAUGCCAAUCCCCAAAACCUCUCUCAGUUCGGACUGGAGUCUGCAACCCGACUCCACGAAGCUGGAUUCGCUAGUAAUCGCGCAUCAGCCACGGCGCGGUGAAUACGUCCCCGGGCCUUGUACACACCGCCCGUCAAGCCAUGGGAGCCGGGGGUACCUGAAGUGCGUAACCGCGAGGAGCGCCCUAGGGUAAAACUGGUGACUGGGGCU
rnacentral:rRNA from 1 species